rnacentral:rRNA from 1 species
UACGUAGGGGGCAAGCGUUAUCCGGAAUUACUGGGCGUAAAGCGCGCGCAGGCGGUUCGCCAAGUUUGGAGUGACAGUUGUCGGCUCAACCGACAAAGGACUUCAAAAACUGGUGAACUUGAGGACGAGAGAGGAACAUGGAACUCCAGGUGUAGUAGUGAAAUGCGUAGAUAUCUGGAAGAACACCAAUGGCGAAGGCAAUGUUCUGGCUCGUUUCUGACGCUCAGGUGCGAAAGCCAGGGGAGCGAACGGG